rnacentral:rRNA from 1 species
CGUGAUCCGCCCUUCGGGGUGGUGAAAGUGGCGCACGGGUGAGUAACGCGUGGAUAAUCUGCCCGAGGAUUUGGGAUAACAUCUCGAAAGGGGUGCUAAUACCGAAUAAGCCCACGGGGUCUACGGAUCUUGCGGGAAAAGGGGGGGACCUUCGGGCCUCCUGUCCUUGGAUGA